AUUUUUAUGAGCGCAUACGUGUACUCGGUGCCGCACAGUAAACUGCCUGGUGGAAACGGUGUUCACAUCGAACUGGUUUUCAUGUGACACCGGGCUGAUAAGGUUGAUAACUAUAACUUUACUCAUAUAACCCAGGGUUAUACGAGUUCAUAUUGUUUCAAUGUUGAGAUCAACAUGAUAAAAGUCAACAUAAAGUUGUCAUGGGGAAGUGAUAGACACGUAAGCGAAAAUACUUAACAGCAACAGGCUUUAUAUAUUCAAGCAAAUAUUGACAAUUAUGCAGAAUUAUGAGAACAAAAACAAGACAUCAUCCCAGACUUCUUUAUCACCAGCGGAGCAGAGAGGUGGUCCGAUAAGUUCAGUCUGACUUUUUUUUUCUCCCAACAACGGCAAGGAAUAAUGAUCGGGUAUGUGCUCAUUUUCGAUUGCUGCACAAAUUAUUACACCGAUCACAAUUGUGCUUUCGGAACAUAAACAGAGCUUAUUGAAUGGAUCCCCAAUUACAGCUAAAGCCAGCGCAGCCUCCUGCUGCUCCUCUGCCCGCAGAAAGAAGCUGCGCUGCUCCGGGCAGCGGUUCACCGUCUUUGCCAGAUGAACCGACAUGUCACUGCCUUUCUCUGUCCCGCACUGAGAGGUAAGUUAAAGCUUCUUGAGUUAAAGCUUCUCAGAUGGAGAAGAAACAGAGCUAGAGGCCCAAAUAGUUAAUCAAACUUGCUAGUUCUCAUUAGGAUUGUGUGAAAUAAAGGAAUUUGUCACGGAAUUUGUUCUCAGUACGCUCGAGUAUGAAGACACGGAGUCCGUGGACAGUACGCGCGGUUCAUGGAAUGCGCACAGUACGUCCGAGUAUAUUGGGGCCUUUAAGGGUGAACAAUUGUUCUAGGCCACUUAUUUUGAAAAAAAAUAUGAAUUCGUUUGGCCUGGGGUCUUUCUGCAUUGAGUUUGCAUGUUCUCCCUGUGCAUGGUGGGUUCUCUCCAGGUACUCCGGUUUCCUCCCACAGUCCAAAAACAUGACUGUCAAGUUAAUUGGCCUCACUAAAUUGUCCCUAAGUGUGUGUGUGUGUAUGGUUAUUUGUCUGUCUCUGUGUUGCCCUGCGACAGACUGACGACCUGUCCAGGGUGUACCCCGCCUCUCACCCAGAAUGUUUUCUGGAGAAAGGCAACAGCACCUCCUGACCCCAUUAAGGGACAAGGGUGUACAGAAAAUGGAUGGAUGGAUGGUGAUUUAGUUUUCUUCGGAAUAUUUUAUUGUUUUUCCUACUUGUAGACCAAAGAUGCUGUUGCCAUAAGGACCUCUACUCUGGGAUGUCUCUCAGUUUUCCUCGACAACGAUGGAGGAGAGUUGUACAAUGUCUCUUGAUUCAGAUGCCAUGGCAGACUUCAUCCAGGUUCCUGUGUGGUUAUUGACUGUUAUGUUAUGCUAAGUAUAUCAUUUUGUUAAAAUAAAACGUUGAAUCUUGUAAAUUUAAAAUCUGUGCCUGUGGUAAGCUGAACUAUUUUGAAGUUUCUUGUUACUAAUUAAACACUGAC